GGGGUCAGUAGGUUGGUCGUGCCACCGGUACGUACUGGCCUCACUGAUUCCUCCUUCCUGAAGAACCGUAAUGCCAUUAAUUUGGUGUUGCGGGGAAACAGGACUGUCACUUUGAAAAAAUUAGAGUGUUUAAAGCAAGCUAACGCUUGAAUACAUUAGCAUGGAAUAAUGAAAUAGGACGAUCGAUCCUAUUUUGUUGGUUUCUAGGAUUGACGUA
rnacentral:rRNA from 1 species